AGUGGCGCACGGGUGAGUAACGCGUAGAUAAUCUACCCCUUAGCCUGGGAUAACCUUCCGAAAGGAGGGCUAAUACCGGAUAACAAUGAGAUUCUAGUGAAUUUUAUUUAAAAGAUUUAUCACUAGGGGAUGAGUCUGCGUAUCAUUAGUUUGUUGGUGGGGUAAAGGCCUACCAAGACUACGAUGAUUAGCGGGUCUGAGAGGAUGAUCCGCCACACUGGAACUGAGACACGGUCCAG
rnacentral:rRNA from 1 species